rnacentral:rRNA from 1 species
UACGAAGGGGGCUAGCGUUGCUCGGAAUCACUGGGCGUAAAGGGUGCGUAGGCGGGUCUUUAAGUCAGGGGUGAAAUCCUGGAGCUCAACUCCAGAACUGCCUUUGAGACUGUAUCGCUUGAACACGGGAGAGGUGAGUGGAAUUCCGAGUGUAGAGGUGAAAUUCGUAGAUAUUCGGAAGAACACCAGUGGCGAAGGCGGCUCACUGGACCGUUGUUGACGCUGAGGUGCGAAAAGCGUGGGGAGCAAACAGG